rnacentral:rRNA from 1 species
AUUGAACGCUGGCGGCAUGCCUUACACAUGCAAGUCGAACGGUAACGUGGCUUCGGGUGCCGACGAGUGGCGAACGGGUGAGUAAUACAUCGGAACGUGCCCGAUCGUGGGGGAUAACGAGGCGAAAGCUUUGCUAAUACCGCAUACGAACUACGGAUGAAAGCAGGGGACCGCAAGGCCUUGCGCGGACGGAGCGGCCGAUGGCUGAUUAGGUAGGUGGUGGGAUAAAAGCUUACCAAGCCGAUGAUCUGAAGCUGGUCUGAGAGGAUGAUCAGCCACAUUGGGAGAGAGACAGGUCCCAGACUCCGAGAGGGAGCAGCAGUGGAGACUCUUGCGGGAGGGAGCAGAGGCUGAUCCUGCGCAGCCGCGUGCAGGAUGAAGCCCUUCUGGUUGUAGAAUGCUGUUGUUCGGAACGUAAAGACAUCUUUUAAUAGAGGAGGAUAAUGACGGUACCGUAAGAAGAAGCACCGGCUAACUACGUG